GAUGAACGCUGGCGGCGUGCCUAAUACAUGCAAGUCGAGCGAACAGACGAGGAGCUUGCUCCUCUGACGUUAGCGGCGGACGGGUGAGUAACGCGUGGAUAACCUACCUAUAAGACUGGGAUAACUUCGGGAAACCGGAGCUAAUACCGGAUAAUAUAUUGAACCGCAUGGUUCAAUAGUGAAGGACGGUUUUGCUGUCACUUAUAGAUGGAUCCGCGCCGCAUUAGCUAGUUGGUAAGGUAACGGCUUACCAAGGCAACGAUGCGUAGCCGACCUGAGAGGGUGAUCGGCCACACUGGAACUGAGACACGGUCCAGACUCCUACGGGAGGCAGCAGUAGGGAAUCUUCCGCAAUGGGCGAAAGCUUGACGGAGCAACGCCGCGUGAGUGAUGAAGGUCUUCGGAUCGUAAAACUCUGUUAUUAGGGAAGAACAAAUGUGUAAGUAACUAUGCACGUCUUGACGGUACCUAAUCAGAAAGCCACGGCUAACUACGUG
rnacentral:rRNA from 1 species